GCUCAGGACGAACGCUGGCGGCGUGCCUAAUACAUGCAAGUCGAGCGGACAGAUGGGAGCUUGCUCCCUGAUGUUAGCGGCGGACGGGUGAGUAACACGUGGGUAACCUGCCUGUAAGACUGGGAUAACUCCGGGAAACCGGGGCUAAUACCGGAUGGUUGUCUGAACCGCAUGGUUCAGACAUAAAAGGUGGCUUCGGCUACCACUUACAGAUGGACCCGCGGCGCAUUAGCUAGUUGGUGAGGUAACGGCUCACCAAGGCGACGAUGCGUAGCCGACCUGAGAGGGUGAUCGGCCACACUGGGACUGAGACACGGCCCAGACUCCUACGGGAGGCAGCAGUAGGGAAUCUUCCGCAAUGGACGAAAGUCUGACGGAGCAACGCCGCGUGAGUGAUGAAGGUUUUCGGAUCGUAAAGCUCUGUUGUUAGGGAAGAACAAGUGCCGUUCAAAUAGGGCGGCACCUUGACGGUACCUAACCAGAAAGCCACGGCUAACUACGUGCCAGCAGCCGCGGUAAUACGUAGGUGGCAAGCGUUGUCCGGAAUUAUUGGGCGUAAAGGGCUCGCAGGCGGUUUCUUAAGUCUGAUGUGAAAGCCCCCGGCUCAACCGGGGAGGGUCAUUGGAAACUGGGGAACUUGAGUGCAGAAGAGGAGAGUGGAAUUCCACGUGUAGCGGUGAAAUGCGUAGAGAUGUGGAGGAACACCAGUGGCGAAGGCGACUCUCUGGUCUGUAACUGACGCUGAGGAGCGAAAGCGUGGGGAGCGAACAGGAUUAGAUACCCUGGUAGUCCACGCCGUAAACGAUGAGUGCUAAGUGUUAGGGGGUUUCCGCCCCUUAGUGCUGCAGCUAACGCAUUAAGCACUCCGCCUGGG
rnacentral:rRNA from 1 species